UUCGUGCUGGUUCGACGAGCUUCGGCUGCGGGCGUGCGUUGAAUAGGACUCUGACAAGCGUUGCAGGCAGCGUUCCCGGGGCAUGGCUCGGCUCUGGCUAGAUUUGCUACAAGAGAUCAGCCGAGUCGCGUGAAAGCAGCGAACGCAGACGCUGCCCUAACGUUUAAAAUAUAAAUAUCGGAUAGAAAUAAUCGGUCGUUUAAUUUUCGUCUUUUUAAUACAGACAGUGUGCUCGUAGUGUGACUAUUAUGUUAUUUUAAUUUAAAAAACAUUACGUGUGUGAAAGACGUGCUUUUAUUUAUUUAUUUUUUAAUCUUUGCUUCUGCGGUUUUCAUUUAAUUCUCCCUAAGAAAAAAAGGAUUUAAUAAGUUUUGAAGAGAUAACACUAAAAAAUAGGAAAAUAGAUACUUUUACUCUUCAACGACUUCGUCAAAAUCAUAAUUCAACGGACCUUAAAAUUUUUUCGAAAAAAGUUUUUGAACUUAUUUUUUGUGAUAAUUAAUUAAUUGCGCGUUUAAGUGUUAAGUUUUCCUCUUUGGUGUAAAACAGAUUUUCGCGGUGUUAAGGGUGGUGUCGGAGCUGCAAGGGGGGCGGGAAGCUCCAAAGGGCUGCCGCCGAUAUAAGCAGUGCAGUGGCGUGCUGUCGCGAUGGGAGCGGCAGAGAGCUGACGGCGGAUAACAGCGGGAGGCGUCGCGGCGGCAGCGACGGCCGCCGUCAAUGCGGUCUUUGCUCGCUCGUCGCUCGCGCCUUCCGAAGAGCCGUCUGUGGAGCUCCCAGUCGAAGAGGAAGCGGCGAUUCCAUACAAGAAUUAACACCACAGGCUCAAGAAGAAGAAACAAUUACU